GUGCCCCAAGGGCGAAUCUCAGGUCGGAGGAAGGGGCUGAGGGGAUUCCCUCUCCCACCGGGUCCGACUCUUCGCUCCCCAAGCCGCGGAGGGCCAGCCUCUUCUUCGGCGCCCUCCAGGCCUGUUGGAGGCCCCCCCAGGAUGCAAUGGCGCAGCCCCCCCGGCUGAGCCGCUCUGGUGCCUCCUCACUUUGGGACCCAGCUUCUCCUGCUCCCACCUCUGGCCCCAGGCCUCGGCUUUGGGAGGGUCAAGAUGUGCUGGCCAGAUGGACUGAUGGGCUGCUAUACUUGGGUACCAUCAAAAAGUGCUAGGGAGGUGUGUCUGGUCCAGUUUGAGGAUGAUUCGCAGUUUCUGGUUCUAUGGAAAGACAUUAGCCCUGCUGCCCUCCCUGGAGAGGAACUCCUCUGUUGUGUCUGUCGCUCUGAGACUGUGGUCCCUGGGAACCGGCUGGUCAGCUGUGA
rnacentral:sRNA from 1 species